GGAAGGAGUGACCUGCAACAAAUCUAGGGUUACUUCAUUGUAAUAAAUAUUCAAUUCAACAUUAUUGAUCCUUUUGAACUUUGGUAUAUUAAUUUCAUCAUCUUUUUAUUCACUUUUCCAACUACUAAUUUAAGAAAAAUAUUUUGUCAUGUGCAUGAAAAAUAUAGGGGACUAUCAACCAUGGGCCUGAAGGGUAAAUUAAGUGGAGAUAUUGGUGGACUCACAGAAUUAAGAUCCUUG
rnacentral:lncRNA from 1 species